rnacentral:lncRNA from 1 species
GCGCUCUCUCAAGUCUCCUCUUACUGUGCCAUCGUGGGGAACAGUCUCAUGGCAUGAUAUGGAGCUGGAGAGGAGGGGAGAGGAGAACAGAAGGCAAGGUGGGAAAGGACACCUGGCAGAGACAACAUCUGGAUCCUGAACCUGGAGGAGAAAUCCACUUAUAUCUCACUUUAGAUUUGCCAGCUGCUUUUAUUUUUAUUUGGACUUACAGAAAGGUUGAGAAGAAAAUACGGGAGUGAACUGUAGCAAUAAACGGUUUGUG